CAACAGUUCGAUCUGUCCUUUGCUAGGCUGAGAAUCGCGAAUGAACCCGCUAGGAGUUCUAGGCAAUUUAUGUGUAGGUCGAUUUCCUGAGAAGUCCAGGCGCCUCCUGUCAAUUUGCCUCCGCCCAUCGCACCACAGCCCCAAAGACUGGCGUCCGAUUCCAGAACUAUGUCGGGUGAACUCCCGAAGAUGGCUCGGCCGUUCCAUGCCUCCAUGCUGUCUAGCCACCAUCUG